rnacentral:lncRNA from 1 species
CAAUGUAUCCUUACUCCCUUGAUUCCCAUGUGAUUGUACUUGUUGGUUCAUAUCGUUCCCUCAUUCCUCAAAGAGAUUUGUCCUCAAAUCUGCAACAUGGUCAAAAGGAGACAAGUUGGACACAUUAAAGGUAGCACUAACCUUAUACUCACUUGGCAAGUCUAUUUUAUAGGCAUUGUCAUUUAUUCACUCUAAAACUUGAAAUGGACCAUUACCACAAGCAUCUAGCUUAUUCUUCCUUUAAUUUGGAAACCGUUCCUUUCAGAAGUGCACCCAAACCCAAUCACCAGGAACAAACAUCACUUUCUUUCGUCUCCUGUUUGCCCUGUCAGCAUACACCUUAUUUCUCUUCUCUAUGUUAGACCGAGCCUUUUCAUGCAAGGACUUCACCAAUUCUGCCUUUUUAACACCAUUUAAACUAGCAAGCUCAUAUAAAGGUAAAGGAAUAAGAUUAAGUACAGUCAAUGGGUUAAAACAAUAAACAAGAUUAAAUAGAGAAAAUCCUGUGGAAGAAUGUAUGCUACGGUUAUAUGCAAACUCAAUGAAAGGUAAGCACUCUUUCCAAGUGUUUAAAUUCUUACCCAUUAUAGCUUUGAGCAAGGUACCAAGAGUUUGAUACACUACCUCUGUCUGGCCAUUUGUAUGUGGAUGACAAGUAGUAAAAUAUAAGAAUUUAGUACUCAAUUUACCCUAUAAUACUUUUUAAAAGUUCGAAAGGAAUGUUGCAUCUCUAUCUGAUACAAUUGUCGUUGGCACUCCAUGAAGUCGAACCACUUUCUGAAGAACAAGUCAGCUACAUUGAUGGCGUCAUCAGUUUUUUGAUAAGGAAUGAAGUGAACCAUCUAGUUGAACCCAUCGACAACAACAAAUAUGCUAUCUGUAUCACAUCUAGUCUUAGGUAAGCCAAACACAAAGUCCAUAGAAAUAUCCAUCCAAGGUGAAUUAAGAACAGGUGAAGGCAUUUAAAGAUCAUGAGGCAUAGACUUAGACUUUGCCCGUCUAUAUGCAAUAUAAGAAGCAUAUUUUUCAACAUCUUUGCGCAUAGAAGGCCAAUAAAAAUGCUCAAAUAAAAUGUCAUAAGUUUUAUGUACUCCAAAAUGUCCCAUUAAACCCCCACAAUGAGAUUCAAGUACAAGCAAAUCACGUGUAGAGUAUUUAGGCACACAAUUUCUUACCCAUAAAUAAGUAACCAUCAUGUCUAUAAAAAGAGUUAAAAGCUCUAUGCUUGCAAGUGACAAACACAUUGCCGAAAUGAGUAUCAUUAAUAUACAAGUCCUUAACAUGCUCAAAACCAAGCAAUUUAGAACUCAAAACAUUAAUUAAAGCAUACCUCCUAGAUAAAGCAUCUAUAAUCACAUUGUCUUUCUUAUGCUUAUACUUAAUCACAUAUGGAAAUUGUUUAAUAAACUCAACCCACUUAUCAUGCCUCUUAUUCAACUUGCCUUGUCCCUUCAACUGUUUUAAGGACUCAUGAUCUGUAUGUAUAAUAAAUUCCUUAGGCAGGAGAUAGUGUUGCCACAGGUCCAGUACUCUCACCAAGGCACACAGCUCCUUAUCAUAAGUUGAGUAAUUGAGUUGGUGCUCUAUUCAACUUCUCGCUGAAAUAGGCUAUUGAUUUCUUCUCUUAAAUCAACAUAGUCCUAAUACCUACGUCAGAAGCAUCAUACUCAAGUUCAAAAGUUUUAUCAAAGUUAGGUAAAGAUAAUAUAAGAGUGGAUGUUAACUUCCCUUUUAAGCUGUCAAAAGCUUUCUGUUGCUCCUCUCCCCACUUGAACCCAACUUCCUUCUUGAUAAUUUCUGUGAGUGGUGCUGCAAUAGUAGAGAAAUCCCGCACAAACCUCCUGUAAAAGCUUGUGAGGCCAUGAAAGCUCGUUAUAUCUGAAAUAGAUUUAGGAAUAGGCCACUCGUUUAUAGCUUUCACUUUCUCUUCAUCUACCUCAAUUCCAUUUGCACUCAUAACAAAACCAAGGAAAACAAGUCUAUCUAUACAAAAUGUGCAUUUCUUAAGUUUAGCAUACAAGUUCUCUUGUCUCAAAACCUGUAGAACCAACCUAACAUACUCAAUAUGUUCGUCAAGAGACCUGCUAUAGAUCAAGAAAUCAUCAAAAUAAACAACUAUAAAUUUUUUAUAGUAUGCACGCAACACAUGAUUCAUCAGCCUCAUAAUAGGUACAUUCGACAAACUAAAAGACAUAACUAACAGUUCAUACAAAACAUACUUAGUUUUAAAUGCAGCUUUCCAUUUACCAUCAGGUUUCAUCCUAAUAUGAUGAUAUUCACUCAUAAGAUCAAUUUUAGUAAAGCACCUUGCACCAUGAAGCUCAUCCAACAUGUGGAGGCACAACACAAUUUCGGGUUGCGUAAUACAUUUAUGGCCAAAUUGCAUUUAAACCAAUUUUGUUAUUUUUGUAUUUUAAUAUUGUGUGAUUUGUUUUAAAUUAAUUUGGCUUAUAUUAGAAGCCAAAUUCAUGCAGCUCAUUUAGAAAGGAGAUUUCUCAAAAACAAUUUAAGAAAAUGAUCUUUAAUGUAAUAUAGGUUUGACAAUUUGACUAAAUAUCCUUUAUAUAUUGUAAUUACACAUUCAUACAAUAGAAUUAAGGUUUAAAGGUUAUAAAAACACUCUUUAAGGUGGCAAUCACAAUUAGCGAAUGAAUAAAAAAAUGAUAUUAUGAACAAUAUUUGAUUCUUCUCCAUUAUUUAGCAACUUAUCAAGGUUUAACGUUCUGGCGUUCUAAUAUGGAUCUCCUUCAUGCUUAGUUAACUUAUCAAGAAUUUGUUGUGACGUUUUUGAAGCUGAGAUCGCUUGAUUAUCUAUGUUUCUAAUCACAUUGGUUGAUUAAGGGUGUAGUAGAGCAACCUUUACUCCAUAAUUUUCGUUUCUAAUCACAUUGGUUGGUUAGGGGUGUGAUAGAGCAACUUUUGCUCCAUUAUCUAUGUUCUAAUCAUAUUCAUUGGUUAGAAGUGUAGUAGAGCAACCUUAUGGAAGAUAUUUUUGCAUUGUUCUUUAUCAAGUUGUGUAACAGAGUUUUUGAUCACAUGUUGGUCUUGAGUUCUGUAUCGGUUGGUAUCAGGGCACGGUGAUAGAUAAAUUCCUAUUUAUCUAUAUUUAUUUGUUUUGUAAGUUUUUUUUGUUGUUUUUUUCAGUCUAUCUUAUUUUUUUUUAUUUCAGUAUAUCUUAUAAUUCCUCUUAAAAAAAGAAAAAAAAAGCCAAAAAAUUUUAGUUAUAUUUAUGUAAAAAAAAGAGAAUUUUUUUUUAUUUCAGUUAUGUGAGAUUUUAAAAAAAGAAGAGUGAAAAAAAAAAUCAUUUCAAUUGUUUGAUUUAAAAAAAAAAAAAAAAGAGGAGAGAUGUGAAAAUUUAAUGCUUCAUUCGCGAAACGUUGAAUUCAAAGAGAAUGCUAUGUAUGUCGAUUCUUUUCUUGUCAUUAUAGUUAAAGAUCCAAGGACGAAUAUUUUCUUGUCAUUUAGACUACUAUUUGGAAAUGAAUACUUUAAGAUAAAAAAGAAUUGAAUAUUCUAAUAAUAUUAAUUAGAUUGGAAAUAAAAAUUUAACUUGUGGAGCCUUGAAAAAUAAUAAUAGUGUUUGAAAAAUUAAUUAGAGAGUUAUUAGAUUAUGAGCAGAUAGAUAUUUAGUUAAUUAAUUUGGUAUUAUUUGGAAGAGAUGAUCAAUUACUUUAGGAUUAUUUGCUCUAAUUUUAGUAACUAAAAUUGAAUUGCUAACCAAAUAGAUUAAUUGAAUCAGGUCCAAGUAAAAUCAAAAUAUCCUAGUGCUUAAUAUUAAUUGUUUUUGUGAAUUCUAUUUGUUAAGUCAUUAAAUUUUAUUAUUUUAUUUUAUUUCAAUUUUACCAUCAUCAUUAUUUGUAGUCUAAAUAAUAUAGAUUUAUAUACAUUUUAGUACUUAUUUUCAGUCCAUGUGAAUAUGAUACUCGACUCAUUAUUUUAUUAUUUGGGAUGAUUUCAUACACUUACAGAUAUUAUAUCUUUAAGUUUUUGACGUUGUUGAUAGGACAGACAACAAUUAAUAUCAAAAUAAUAAAUUCUAUUAUGUAUGAUAAAAGGUGUUGCUAAACCUUUACUGUACAACCUAAUAAGUGCAUUAUUGUCGGUAUAGAAAAAGUAAGAGAAAGCAAGUGUACUAUUUCAAUAGAAACUAAAUUGAAAGUUAAUCAAAGAUUGGCUGAAGACAGUAAUUGUUUGAGCGGGUAAUGAAAACAAUAAUAAUAAAACAGUUUGACAAUCCAAUAGGUGGUGAUGGGUUAGAUCAUAAAACCGCAAAUCUCUUUGAUAUUAUGUCAAUCUCGAUAUUAGUCAAAUUAAAUCAAUCAAAUUGUCACAAGCGUUAUUUGGUCUAGAGUGCAAGCUAACAAUUUUGUGCUUAAAUCUUCAUUAGUACAUAUGUUUUAAAACACACUUCAAUUUAGUGGACCUCCUACUAAAGAUCUACAUACACAUAUUUAUUAGUUUAUGAAGCUUUGUAAUAAUUAUAUGUAGAAUGGCGUGUUAGAUGAAGUUAGCAGAUUUAGACUAUUCCUUUUUAUACUGAAGGAUAAAGCAAAUUUAGCAAGAUUUUUUCUACAAGCAAAAACCGUUAAGAUGAAGAAUGACAUCUAUCACUUUUUGCAGAUAGAUUUAGAGCCACUUUACGAAGCCGGUGAGAGAAUAAAAGAUAUGCUCAGAAUGUAUCCUCAUUAUGGAUUACCCAAUUGGUUGGUUUAGAGAAAUUCUUCUAUAGACUCAAUACCAAUACAAUAAAUAUUAUGGAUAAUGCAAUAAGAGGAUUGUUCAUAAAAAUAGAAUUAGAAGAUAUUUAUGACUUAUUAGAUGAAUCGGCAACUACAAAUUUUGAGUUUCUUAUAAAAAGGAUUCCACCCAAGAGGACUGCACGAGUGUGUGAGAUUGACACUGUUUAUGCAUUGUAAGCUUGGGUAAAUAUCAUAACUAGAAUAUUGGAUAAAUUUACCACUAACUUUAUUAAUUUGUGGUGUAGGUGCGUGUGAAUUAUGUUGACAUCCAUGACUCCAAUGAAUGCCUAAUGGACUAUUCUCUUUUGCAAGUUGAACAAGCUAAUUAUGUGGGUAACCAAAGGUGCAACAAAACAAUCCAUAGUCCAAAAAUUACAAUCCAAAUUGGAGAAACCAUCCAUUUCAAAUGGUCGGUAAGGUAGUCAAUAAUUUACUUUACCAACCACUUUUUCUAUAAUUUAAUCGAUAAAUUUUAUCAUUUUUUUUAGUGACCAUUAUGUGAGAGUCGGUGAAAUACAACGUCGUACCUACUCCGCAGUAGUGAGUGAGAGUCAGCGAAAUAUAGUGCCUUACCUAUCCCGCCUAUCUAUAUUAGUAGAAGUCUGUGAGAUAUGCGUCUUAUCUCCAAGGUGACACAAUACAAAAUAAAUAAUUUAAAAAAAAAAAGAUGCGCCUGAUAUAUUAAUUAGGUAUAUAAGUGAUGCAUGAAUAUGCUGCAUAAAUAUAAAUAAUAUUGAAUAUAUAAAAAUAAUUAAUAUUCAACUCAAAAUUUAUUGAUCCUACUAAUAUUGGCUAGGCUGGAAGGAAGAAGACUGCCGAUACCGAUUACCUAUAAAGACAUAUAAAUAUUUAUCAAAUACUUAGGUAUAUAAGUGAUGCAUGAAUAUGCUGCAUAAAUAUAAAUAAUAUUGAAUAUAUAAAAAUAAUUAGUUUCCAAUGCACAAAUUUAUUGAUCCUACUAAUACGGGCUAGGUCGAAAGGAAGAAGGCUGCCGAUAUCGAUUACCUAUAAAAACGUAUAAAUAUUUAUCAAACACUAAUUGCAUAUAAGUGAAUUAAACUAUAGAAGCAAAAUACAAUUCUAAAUAUUUGCUGAAAUUUCGGUAGAGUUUUCCCAUAACUAUACUUAACCCCUACAAGACAAAUUCAACAACUAUCACACAAGGUCUCGGGUCUAACAACCAAUUUUACAAUGCCCAUCGAGUCUAUAAUAAUCCUAAUUCUAGGUCUAAAUCUCCAUAUCUAGCUAAAGUUCCUUAACUCCAUUAUUGUCCAAAACUUAUAAAAAUAUUUCCAGAGGUACUUUUUGAUAUCCUUCAAUCCUUCAAAUGUAUUUUAAUUAUUUAUUAUAAUCAUAGAAUAUUUUCUUAAAUAAUUAUAUGUUUAGUUAUAAUUCAAAAUCAUACGACUUAAGUUGAAAUUUACCUUUACAAAAAUGAAUAAUUAGAAUGUGUUCAGAGCAUCAUUUAUCAUGUUAGAAUAUUAAUUCCUAUAUUAACUAUGUACCAAAUGGUUAUUAUUGUUCAAUGUUCUUUACCUCUUCUAAUGUGAGCAUGAAGGUGGCAAUAAUUUUUAACAAUUUGAGAUGCAAAAAAGAUACAACAUUUUUAAGCAUUCAUACUUAAUGUCAUGCUUGAAAGUUAAGAAAACAUGAGAGGAAGGAUGUCUGUAAUACAACUCCAAUAUAACGCCUUGUAAUCAAGAGAAAUAGUCUAAAACACAUCCUUAUAUUCAUUACCCCAUAUUAUAUUUUGUACAAGAAAGCCACACGAAGUAAUAGCACAAAGAACACAACUCAAAGGGCUAAAGCAUGGGUUUGCACACCCAACCUAUGUAAUUCAUUUUCAACCCAUGUUUUACAUUAUUUGUGAUCAAGUCUUGUAAUUUUGCAGUUGGGUUUUAAAUUGGACUUAUUUUUAUGGCUCAAAGUGAUGGAAAUUCAACCAUAUAAGUAGAAUAUUAUUAUUUUACAUGUUUUGGUAGAAUUAAACUUAGUUUUCCUAAUUAAACUAAAAUUUUUCAUUCUAAUAGGAUUUACUAUUGCUUUUCUUAUUUUAACUAGGAUUAGAUUUAAAAAAUAUUAUAAAUAGGUUGUGCAUAAGCCAUGGAUGACCCUAGCUAUAGUAAUGGUUAUUAUGAUACGUCAAUGGUGAUUUGAGACUCUUUUAUUUAUUGAUGCAAAUAUAGAUUUUCUGUGUCGUCGUGUUUAUAUACUUAUCAAGGUUUCAAUUUUUAUGGUGCUUCUAGCUUAAUUCAUUGCUUUGUAAUCUUUAUUUCUAAUUACCAUAGUUUAUUAGGGUUAUGAUAGAGUAACACUGGAAUUGUCAAAGUCACAUUCAUUAUCUAAGUGUGUCUUCUAUAUUCAGAAAACACUAUGAUCCUAAAGUUCCACAUCACCUCUAUAAGGCACACCAAUUUGGUAAAAGAUUUGGCUUUGAAGGUGUUUGAAUCGUGUUAAGCCUCAAACACAUUGUAAGACUUAAGAAAAGGACAAGGGAGAUAAUGGAGCAACUCAACCAUAUUGCACAACUUGGAGAUAGUUUGGCUUAACGAUCAAAACCAUGUAAGAGCAUACAAUAAGAGAGUAUAUGCAUGUAGGGGUGAGCAUUCGGUCGGUUCGGUUCAAAACCGAACCGAACCGAAAAAACCAAAAACCGAAUUGUAGAAUUUUACAAAAACCGAACCGAACCGAAUAAGAGGAAUAACCGAAUCGAACCGAACCGAAUAAGAGGAAUAACCGAAUCGAACCGAACCGAUUUGGUUCGGUUCGGUUCGGUCGGUUCGAUCGGUUGAACCGAUUUUCAAUUUUUUUUUUUAAAUUCAUUCUAAAAUUCUAUUAAAAUAUUUUAAUUUUAAAUUUUACAAAUAAAAAAUCAAACAACUCAUAUAUUCAUGCGAACCCCAGCUCAAAUGCCCCAAUACUCAAUUCAAAAAGCAGUGUGUCAUCGGAUGUACAGAUUGGGAAGAUAAAAUCUGAACGCAAGAAUACAAAAUAGAGCAAUAACAGUAAAAUAAUACUAACCAAUACCAUAAAAUAGCAAAUUGAAACCAACACCAGCAAGCAAUACAAAUUUACAACACCAGCAAGCAACAAAAUUUGUAUUGCUGCUCUCUAUUUCCACAGCAGGAAGAUUAAACAACCAAGCAAAAAUAUACACCUAUAUUUCAGAAUCUAUCUUGUGUUAGAUUUCCAAGUCCAACAUUUGCUGACAGGACGCUGAAACGCAUUGCAGUUGCAACUUGCAAACUAUAGUAACAGUAUCAACUCCAUCAGUGACAUCAAUCCAACAGACAUAUAUAUGCCACCAAUAUAAUGUAAUAUGCUACAAGCGGAUAGUUAAGGCAUAUGUUAACCUGUAGAGCGACGACCGACGAUUGUGUGGAGAGCGACGGCCGGAGAUUGCGUGGAGACUGGAGAGAGAGAAUAGAGAGCUACAGUGGAGAGCGACGACAGUCGGCGACUCAGCGUUGCAAGUGAAGAUCGAUGACCCGAGUUAGCCGCGAUGGUUAAUCGGUCGAUGUCGGGAGGAGAGUGGAGGUUGGACGGUGGACGGUGGACCCGCUGGAAGUGGUGGAGCUCAGUGCUCAGAGAAGAAGAGGCACAGGUGUGACGGGAGGGGUGAGUGAGGCGGCGUGGAUUCUGCGUCUCUACUCUCAAUGGCACAUCUUUUAGAUUUAGGGCAAACGCUUAUAAGAGUAUAUUUCAAAACGACGUAGUAUAGGUGAUUUCGGUUCGGUUCGGUUUAAUCGAAAUUUUUGAAUCUAAAACCGAACCAAACCGAAAUCACCGAAAUUUCUAAAAUGAAAAACCGAACCGAACCGAAAUAUAUAAAAAACCGAACCAAAAUUUUAAAUCGGUUCGGUUCGAUCGGUUUUUUCGGUUUAAACCGAAAUCUGCUCAGCCCUAUAUGCAUGGAGGAAUACUUGGAGUUGGUGAUGCAUUAUGGUUUUCAAAAAACCACAAUUGCUCAAUUCCUUUAUGGGUUAAGAUUUAAAAUCACAUUUUUAAUUGAAUCGCAACUUUUUGAUAAAAUAUAUGAUGUUAUUCAAAUUGCAGGCCAAGCAAAAUGGUAACUUUUGCAUUAUAAAAGCCAAGCCUCUAAUUCAAACUCAUUGUCGUCAAAUGUAGAUUCAAUGGAGAACUCAAUAACCAUGGAUGAAAAGGUUGAGAGUACUAAAAAAGCAACUUCAAAGGAGCAAGAACAUAGAGAUUAAUGAAAGAAUGUCAGGCAGACUUAUGAAAGAGAGUUAAUUGCCUUAAUUCUAAAAGCACAAGAUAAAGAGACAACAAGAUGAUGCAAUGCCUUUUUAUUUUAACCAUUUAUGGUGAAAUUUUAUUUCCUUGUAUAACUUGCAAGUCCUUCAUGGAAAAAGAGGUGCUGGAGAUUCUAUUUUAAUAUUUUGUUUCUAUAUAACAACGGAACCAUAAUGUAUUUGAUCAGAGAAAGAAUUAACAUGUGAUGAUGAACCAAAUUCUAAUAAGGGGGAACUUCAAGAUUCAUGUGUUAAUGACAAAUCAUUUUCAAAAAGGGAGGUAUGAUGUGUCUCAAUGGGGUCAAAAAUGUUUACCAGUCAUGGAUCCUUGAAGAAUGUUACUCACAAAUAUGUUCGAUGGAAGACGUAUAAUGCAUGUGACUUGAAUAUUUGGGCUUGAUUGAGUUUAACCCAAGUGGAGAAGUUAUAUUCAACCUCGUAUGGAAUGUUUGGAAAAUUAGAUAUUGGAAGAAGAAAAAAAAUGGGCCUUGCUUUAAGAAAAUAGCAAGUUCAAUUUUUAAUUCUUUUUUAUGUAUGAGUGCUUCCAAAUAAUCAUAAUAAUCCAGUGUUCCUUGCUUCUCUAUAAGGCACAUCAUAAAGUACCUAAAAGAAGGCUAAAGUCUGACACGUUUAAUCCAAAGAUCAGUUGGCUAACAUCUUUAAUUACCAAAGCAUUGCCUUGCAAUCUUCAUAAACUACUGACAAAAACAUCUCAUGCUUCUUCUACUCCUAGAUAGAGUUUAUAGGUAAGAUGAAGUUUAUCAGUAAAGUUGCUGGGGGUGUUGUAAGCUUCUCAACUCGUUGUGUAGCUUUCAUUCUAAUUUUAUAUAAUACUUUGUCAUUAUAAUAUUUUUUUCUUUUAACUUAUUGUUUAGAGCAUAUAUUAUUUUUAUUAUUUUUUCUUAUCAAAUUCUAUAACUCAAAGUGCAAAACUAAGUUUUUGAAUCUCAAUUUAACAACUAUAGCAAAAGCAACUUUUUUAAGUACAAUGUGCUACACAUCUCAAGCCACCUUUCUAAAUUGUUUACCAUAUCUAUGCAUUUUCAACUGUAGCUAUUUUAGAGUUAAAAGUUAAAAAAUUUCUAUAGUAGCAUGCUUAUGAGUGUGUAUUUGAAUAUAAAUUUAAGAAAAUUCAGCCAACUAUUUGCUAAUAUGUUAAAAGUGCAGCAAUGUAGAUUAAUGUCAUACCCAAUUAACCACGUCAUCACUUUCACUAAGUACUGGUUUUCCCGGUAACUAACUCCGGAAGCACAAUACCCAAAGAGUAUGUAUCUGAUUUUUCAGAUUUUUUUUAAUAAAUUACACUUUACUUCUUAAAUUUUAACGUAGUUAACAGAUCGAUUUUUAUAUUCUUAAAAUCGAACACUUAAAUCUCUAUAUAAUCAACCUGUCCAACUUAGGGGACCCUCUAUCUAUAAUUCCAUUAGUCAAUCGGUUAAAAAGAGAAUAAGCAUUUCAAAUAUCUAAAAUACCCUCAUUAACACUUAAAUCCUUACCAAUAUAGGUGAAGAGUUUUAUAUUACAUAAACUAUAUUUUGGUCUCUAAAUUUUUAGUGUAAUUGACAGAUUAGUCUUUUUAUUUUUAAAAUUAAAUUAUUAAAUUUCUUUAUAUUUAAUCUGUCUAAAAUUACAGUUCUUAUAUUCAUUAUAGACAUUAGUUUAAAAUUAGUGGAUGGUCAAACUUAUGAAAGUAUAAUUUCUUCAUAAAAUACUCUUUGUAAAAGUUUACGAUCUAUGACGCGGAACCCUAUGGCACAAGCCUCAAACCACACGCACAAGUAGAUAUGGAAUCCAAAGAUUUGAUAAACUCACCUCCUAUGGCACCCCAAAUUUAGAGAAGCUGAAACACCAAUGAUCGAAGGAUUUAGAUGAGAAUCUGACAAACGCCACAACGAAUAGUUGAUAAGUAAGCCAAGAUUCCUGGUGCAAUUGAUGAAAGCAAAUCCUCACUCUCACUCAAAGCAAUACACGCCAAAGGCAUGAGAAGAAUUCUGAAAUUUUGAUAAAAAGCUACCUCUUACAAUUGUUUCUUAUCCUUAUAUAAUAAGGAGAAAAACAAAUAAAACCCUAAGACACUCUUCUUGGACCUAACUUAAACACAUAAGGCCCAAACCCAAUCACACACUAAAAUAACACAUAAGUAUUAAAACAUAAGCCCAAAAUAUGGCCCAACACUCUAAAACUUAAAAGAUAAAGUAUGACCAGAAUACAAGUCCAAACAAAGCUAAAAUAAAACAAGUGUUAAAUAAUAAAAAUAUAGCAAGCCCAUCAUAACAAAGCUGAAUCUUCACAAAAGUCUUACUUGAUCUUCACUUUAGGCUUCCCUUUGUGUAGUUUUAGCCCAUAGGUAGGCUCCCUAAGCCUAUGAUUGCAAGUGUUGCACCAAAUUUAUCCCAUAUGAGUUGAAGCACGCCCCAAAUAUAUAUGGAUCAUAUGAAUAUGAUUUUCAACUCCUUUUAGAUCCAUUUGAAUGACAUAAGUUUGCUCCAUACCAUUGUUAGAAAUUUGCCUUAUUGGAUCCGUAUCAUUCUCUCCUUCUUUAGAAAAGAUUCGUCCUCGAAUCUUGCUGAUAUUUAUGUCAAAAAGGGAAGCUUUAGGAACCCAUGUAUCUUCAAAGACCUCCUUUUGAAUAGGUGGAAAUAGGAUAAAACUUUCGUCAUGAAUGUUUUCAUCAAUAACCAGCACAUCAAGAACAAAUGAACUAGGCAUAAAAAUAUUAGUUAUAGAAAGAUCCUGUGGAUGUGACCCAUUCUCCUCUACAACUUCCAAAACAGUCUCAUUUGCCUCCUCCACCUCAUCAAUCACGUGCUCCCCAUGUCCCUCAUCAUUCACAACCUCUUCUAUAAGUUCAUUGAUGGAACUCUCAACAACAACUACAUUAGAUUCAUACAUUACAACUUCCUCUUCAAUUUCAAUCUCUAUGGAAGUUGAGAUUGGAACUUUAGCCUCUUCUUUCUCCUUUUCUUUCUCCACCUUCCCUCCUUGAACUAGUCUUGAUUCUUUUCCAGCCUCUUUGCCCUCAAACUCACUCUUUUCUCUCAUCUUUUCCGCAGAAUUCAAGCUCUCACUCCCCUUUGUGGCCAAGGCUUCGGCCUCUCUCUCCCUCUCCAGCAUCUUUUAUUUGAUCAACAUAUACCUCUUGAGGUGAUAAAGGAGCGAGUAUAACCUUCUGUCCUUCAUGAGUAAAGGAGUACUUGUUAUUGAACCCAUCAUGUUGCACCUUUCUAUCAUGUUGUCACGGUCUACCCAACAACAUAUGGCUUGCCUGCAUAGGUACCACAUCACACAAGAUCUCAUCCUUGUACCUACCAAUAGAAAAUGGUAUAACCACCUAGCGUGUAACUCAUAACAUAUCAAACAUAUAAGUAUUAAAACAUAACCCAACACUCUAAAACUUAAAAAAUAAAAUAUUGCCAGAAUACAAAGCUCAAACAAAACCAAAAUAAAACAAGUGUUUAAAUAAUAAAAACCUAGCAAACCCAUCAUGACAAAGCUGAAUCUUCACAAAAGCCUUUCUAGAUCUUCACUUUAGGCUUCCCUUUGUGUAGCUGACCCAUAGAUUUGAUUAGCUCCCUAAGCCUAUAAUUGCAAGUGCUGCACCAAAUCUGCCCCAUAUGAGUUGAAGCACGCUCCAAAUGUAUAUGGAUCAUAUGAAUACAAUUUUGAACUCCUUGUAAAUCCAUUUGAAUAAUAUAAGUUUGCUCCAUAUCAUUAUUAGAAAUUUGCCCUAUUAGAUCCGUAUCAGAAGAUUAAUAAAGACUUUUGUAAAGAUUUAAUUUUAUCAUGAUAGACUCGCUAUAUUUUAUUAUUUAAACACUUCCUUUUAUUUUGCCUUUGUUUGGCCUUGUAUUCUGACCAUAUUUUAUCUUUUAAAUUUUAGAGUGUUGAGUCAUGUCUUGAACUUAUAUUUUAAUACUUAUGAGUUUGAUAUGUUAUUUUAGUGUGUGAUUAGGCUUGAGACAUAUCUGUAGUUUGGUCAGGCCUAAAAAGAGUGU